rnacentral:rRNA from 1 species
GAAUUUUAUAUAAAUUUUUAUUUAAAAAUUUAAUAUAUUUAUAAGAAUUUAUAUUUAAUUGGGAGGAUUAUUAAAUUUUAAAAACUUUAAUUAUUUAAAUUACUGAUGAGUAGAUUGAGAUGAUAAUGAAUGAUUGUUUAAUUAAAGUAGAAUUAAUUACCUCAGGGAUAACAGCGUAAUAUUUUUUGAGAGUUCAUAUUGAAAAAAAUGUUUGC